GUGGGGAAUCUUGCACAAUGGAGGAAACUCUGAUGCAGCGACGCCGCGUGGACGACGAAGCCCUUCGGGGUGUAAAGUCCUUUCGACCGGAACGAUAAUGACGGUACCGGUGGAAGAAGCUGCGGCUAACUACGUGCCAGCAGCCGCGGUAAUACGUAGGCAGCAAGCGUUGUUCGGAAUUACUGGGCGUAAAGAGUUCGUAGGCGGUGCGGCAAGUUUGGUGUGAAAUCUCCCGGCUCAACUGGGAGGGUGCGCUAAAUACUGCCGUGCUCGAGUAUAGGAGAGGUAAGCGGAAUUCCUGGUGUAGCGGUGAAAUGCGUAGAUAUCAGGAGGAACACCUGUGGUGUAGACGGCUUACUGGACUAUAACUGACGCUGAGGAACGAAAGCGUGGGUAGCAAACAGGAUUAGAUACCCGAGUAGUCC
rnacentral:rRNA from 1 species